CUCAAGCUCAAUCAUCGAUGAGUUAUGAAAUCUAAUAAUAAUUCUGUUUUAGUGAAUUUUACUAUUUAGUAACUUUUACUUUGAUUCAACUUUUCUCUGUAAACCAACUACGUUAUUCCAUAAUAAUAUAGCACCCAUGGAAAUCACAAAAAAACAGUUUCUAAUAGAUGUAAUCGAUUGGUCAUCUCUCUGCUCGUUAUCUCUGGGCGCUCAUCGUUUGUCAAAAAUUGUACAUGUGAAAGCAACAAGAAAGAGAGUGUGCGGAUAUCUCAGUAAAAAUUCAAUCGGCGUUUGCGUUAGUACUGCCAAUUUUAUUUUUACUUUUGUAGUCCAUUCACGAGGACAAAUUACUGUCAAAAAAGUAUAUUCUUUUAUUAUAUUAGAUUAAAUAAAACGUCAAGCAUGGACGCUGCUAGAAACGAAGUGGUAAUUUUUUUUUUCACCAAAGAAAAUUGUGCAACAAUAUUGCGCAUGAAUAAAAGGAUAUUUUAACACAGGGUUGCAACACAAGUGCUGCCUCGAAGAUAGCUACUAUUAAUUAAAUUCACAACAUCAUGAAUUGACGUCUUUGACUAAUAAGACACAAAAACGUGUUGUGCUUUAACCUACACCAAGGGAAACACAAUGCGACGUAGCUAGAUCGUUUGGUGUGCGUUGAAACAAAAUGAAAAAAAUAUUUGUUGAUGCUGGCGACUUUGUACGAAAUUGCGAUAAUGGUGUUUUCAAACACUCUAUUUUAGUAAAAAAAAACUUAUUCAAAAACAAUUGAAUCAUCUAUAGGGUAUUUCAGAAACUUGUGCGUCUGAUAUUGCAAAAUUCUUGAAUUGAGAUCAUUCCCCAUUAACUGUGAACGUCUUUUUCUGGUUUCGUGGCAACCUUUGUUGCAGAUCAUUUCUUCACAACUAAUUGGUGAAAGAGAACAACAAAACGGCGGGGGCCGGUUUAUUACCGGCCGAGCUAUUCAAAUACGUCGGCGAAAAGCUGAUAAGGUGCAUGCAUCAGCUUCUUUGCGGAAUAUGGUCGGAAGAAAGCAUGCCAGACGAUUGAAAUCUCAGUGUACUCUGCCCAAUACACAAAAAGGGAGAUUUCAAAAUCUCCGCCAAUUACCGUGGGAUAAGCCUCCUCAAUAUUGCUUAUAAGAUUCUAUCGAGCUUACUGUAUGAAAGACUAAAGCCCACCGUUAACAAACUGAUUGGAACUUAUCAGUGUGGCUUUAGACCUGGAAAAUCUCCAUCUGACCAGAUAUUCACCGUGCUCCAAAUCUUGGAAAAGACCCGUGAAAAGAGGAUCGGCACACACCAUCUCUUUGUCCAUUUUAAAGCUGCCUUCGACAGCACGAAAAUGAGUUGCCUCUACGCCGCUAUGUCUGAAUUUGGUAUCGCCGCAAAACUAAUACGGCUGUGUAAGCUGACGUUGAGCAAAACCAAAAGCUCCGUCAGGAUCGGGAAGGACCUCUCCGAGCAAUUCGAUGCCAAACGAGGUUUCAGAGAAGGUGACUCACAAUCGUGUGACUUCUUUAACCUGAUGCUGGAGAAAAUAAUACGAGCUGCAGAGCUAAAUAGAGAAGAUACAAUUUUCUAUAAGAGUGUACAGCUGCUGGCCUACGCCGAUGAUAUUCAUAUCAUCGGAAGCAACAACCGCGCCGUUAGUUCUGCCUUUUCCCGUCUGGAGGUGAAUGAGGACAAGACGAAAUAUCUGCUGUUGACAGUCAUAACUUCGAAAUCGUAGAUAAUUUCGUAUACCUGGGAACCAGCAUCAACAACACGAACAAUGUCAGCCUCGAAAUCCAGCGCAGAAUCACUCUUGCCAACAGGUGUUACUUUGGACUGAGUAGGCAAUUGAAAAGUAAAGUCCUCUCUCGACGAACCAAAAUCAAACUCUACAAGUAGCGUAUUAUUCCCGUCCUGAUGUAUGGCGGAGAAGCAUGUGCGGUGACAAUAUCCGAUGAGACGACUCUUGGGGACUUCGAGAGAAAGGUUUUGCGCAAGAUUCAUGGUCCUCUGAACAUUGGCAACGGCGAAUACCGCAACGAUGAAACGAUUGGCAGUACGAUUUAUACGACGACAUUGAUAUCGUUCAGUGAAUAAACAGACAGUGAAUAAACAGACAGUGGCUACGCUGGCUAGGUCAUGUUGUCCGAAUGGACGAAAACAUUCCUGCUUUGAAAAUGUUCGUUGCAGUACCCGUCGGCGGAAGCAGAGGAAAAGAAAGACCUGCACUCCUUUGUAAAUACCAAGUGGAGAGCCACCUGGGUACACUUGCGAUUUCCAACUGGUGCCGAAUUGCGAGGGAAAGAGAGGAAUGGCUCGCUAUUAUCGAUUCGAUAUCUACAAUGGACUUUUACUAUAUAUUUAAAUACUUCGCAACCUUACAUUAUAAAUAAAAUAAAAUAAAUUUGCCUUCAAUAUUCAUUUCGGAAGUUAUUUCGCCCUAUAGAUAUUCUGUUAUUAGUUCAUUUGCGUGACAUUUAUUUUAACAAUAAAGUGUCUAUUAAGAAUACAAAUUUUUCCGUGUCAUUGUCUACUUGUAUACACAAUGUCUACUUGUAUAUACAAUGAAAGCAUAAAUAAAAUGCGUGAUUUUGUCUUUGAAAAACAACGGUACAGCAUUAAGCUACGAAACGUGUUUUUCUUUCAUCUUGUUUUGUUCAUUCGUUGUGGGUUGCGUCGUUGUUCCGCAAGUACUGUUCGACAAAAAACACGGUUUGAGACAAAUUUGUCGCAUUUGGUGUGCGUUGGCUAAGAAGCUCGACAACAGCUCUUCAAACAAACCAGGACACGAACAUGGGUUUUUGUUUCGUCUUGUUCGGUGUGGGUUGUCACAUAAGAAGCUAUGUGCAGUUGUCGUAUCGGACAAGAAAAGACGCCUUAACAAAUCCAGUGUUGGUUGAGGCCAAUAAUGAUAGAAGAUACUUUCCCUUUUUCACUUAGAAUUUUAAAUAAUAAUAAAACACUAUCGCUUACUUCCACCUUUUGGCUGUGUUAAUGAUUUGUACAACCGAAAGAACUAGUUGAUAUGUAAGUUUUUUUGUUAUCCAGUGGUUACGAGCAUGCGUUUAAUAAGUUAUCGUGCCCCACGCUAUAGGACAUUCCUUUCUUUAUCCAUUGGGUAUCAGUGCCUGAAGUCACCUCUUUAAAAUGAAAAUAUAAAAUUUGUAAUUUGAUUUAUUUAAUAAUGAUGGUGCUGAAAUCGUAAAAAGUGGUCUGAAUAUUACUUUCACAGCAAGUUAUGAGUAACUCCAACACUUUCAAAGAAAUUUCAAUAACUUAAAUACAUACACACAUACGCAACAAUUGGUCAAGAAAUUACCUUAACUUUCUCUUGUGCCGGACGCUAAAUAAAAAAAAACAUAUUUUACUUUGAAGCAAAUAUCCCUGCAAGACGGUAGAGUUACUUAUCUUAUGGUCCAUUGGUUACCAGUGAAAAAAAGGUUGUAUUAUUUUAUUGGUCUCUCUUGUUCUAGCAGACGGAAAAAAUUACCAUUCCUGCUCUUUUACUGGAUGUCGGUAUGAUUAUCUUGCUCGCUCCCUAUCCCUACAACACGGAGCUAACUCGUACACCACUACACAUGCAAAAAUGUUCCGUUUUUACCAACACAUACCCAAUACCAACUUUUUGUAGUUAAGGGGCAAUCUCGGUAGUUAGAAUAGCACCAUUCAUUAACACUAAUUUUUCAAUGUAUAAGAGAGAGAUGCACAUACCACACUGCAAUGUUCAAAAAUCGCCGCCAUGGACACCAUUCAUUUGAAAAGCCAAUUUGGAGUGAAUGAAUAAAUAGAUACUAUUAUUGGCUGGGUACUUUGGAGUAUUUUAAAGGAGUAUAAUUUCAGCAAAUGGUCUCUUAAAAGGCAAAGCGAGCUACAACGCACAUCUGGUCAUCAACUUUUACAACGACAGUUGCUUUUCAAUCGUACAAUACAAAUUCGAACCCAAAUAAGCAGUAUGAUGGAAUAGGACACGCAUUUCUUUGGCCAUUGUGUCAAGAAGGAACUAAAAUCAUGCACCUAGAAAUACAACACAAAAUAUGCUACAACAAAAGGCAUUGAAUGAUGUACAAAAAAUUAAAUCGGACUUUUGGAGUAGCAGUUUUCUACUUAUUUUCGACGUGCUAAACACAGUGUUUCCUAAGAUGACCUUGGAUAUACACAAUGGAUAGUUAACUUGUUAACAGAGCUCAAAAAGCAACAUUGAGGUGCCGAAGUUGUUCAUCUUGAUUUUGAUUUGACUAUGCAAGAGUUAUUAAGCUGAACUUCCUUCUUAUAAAUAUAAAUACCUGAUACAAUUAAAUAAUAUUAAUAAAUAUAAAUUUCUAUUUUUUAAUUCUAAACGAAAAAAGGUAACCAGUAGCAUGAACGAGGUGACUACUGAACCAAAUUUUAGUAACGAGGCGGUGACCUCACAAAUGACCACUUCCUGUGACUAAGGGGUGACCAUGGAAAUGAUGAAGCAAACAAACGAUUUCAGAUGGCCCUGCUAACCACAGUGACGUGUGGCUUUUCAAAACAAUGGAAAAUUAGAGCAGAAAGGCAUAUGCUGCAAAAUCAAUGAGAUGGAGAGAGCAAGAUAAUCACACCGAAAUGUCCGAGAAGUGCACGAUUUUUGUGUGCUUCUUCCAGCAUACGGCGAGUAUUCUAGUUCGAACGAUGUUGAAGAACUGCUGGUAGGAUUCCCCGCACCAACACCAAGUAUAUCUACCUUCCUAUAUGGGAGUAAUACUUUAUCUCCGCUUUAUUGCUCUGAAUUCUGUAUCGCAUAAUUCACUUGCAUAUUUAACAAUAACGUAAUAAGAGUUUUAACAUUCAAUAAGAACAUAAGCUAGGCUAAGCAUGUUGUUUGAAUAGACGAAAGUGCUCCUGCUCUGAAAGUGUUCGAUGCUGAUGGAAGCCGAGAAAGAGGGAGACCUCCACUCCGUUGGAAGGACCAGGUGGAGAAGGACUUGGCUUCACUUGGUAUAACCAAUUGGCACCAAACUGCAAAAGCGAAGAAUAAAUGGGGAGCUCGGCUAUAACCGCUUAAGCGAUGUCUACGCCAGUCAAGAAGAAGAAGAAUAAUAAGAACAUACAGAUUUUGUUUAUAAAAAAGUUAUACAUACAUUCAUUGAUAAAUUAAAAUUUUUUUUCUAUAAUUCAGUAUUUCACAAAAAAAUUUCCAUAUAAUAAUAAAUAGCCAUUAGCUCCAUGAAAUACAUCAGAUGUGGCGAAAAUACUUUCCUGAAAAGAAAUGUAAUAAAAGUGCAUAAAAAUGGGAAUUUAUUAGCAAAUAAUACUCAUGCUGUGAACACAAAGAAGCCGACACGACACGACGUAGCGAUGGCUGACUAUAAAUGUUGCUUUGAAGCCAGCUAACAUUUUAAAGACGGCAGCGACACAUCAAACAGGAAUUUCAUUGUUACCGUACUAAAACCUUUCACUUCAAUAAACUCAUUUGGACAGAUAUUCGAAUGAAUUCGUGACUCCAUCACUAUAAGUGAGUAAUGAGUUUAUAAUAAUUUCACACCGUUUUUAAAAGGAUGGAGUGUAGAAGUUACGUAAGCGAGGGAAGUUUCUGACUGUCACUCACUCGAGAGUGGCCAGACACGAUUCUUUUGCAUGUGGUUCAAGCAGCUUACGACUUCCGGUCUUAGACCAAGUAUCCUCUGGGUAGCCAACAUACAUCCGUUUGAAGUGAGUAUCCCACUAUGCGGUUGUGCGCAGGGUACCAACAAACAGGAAGCAACAGCCUCCGAAGAGAAACCCCAAUUUUGAAGCCGACCACUGCAAACGUAAUAAGGACUACGAUUUAACACGUUGGCUGCCAAUGUAUCACCGGUGAUCACAGCAAAAAACUACCCCCAGGUGCCAGUGUAUCACCGGUGAUCACAGCAAAAAACUACUCCCAGGUGCCAAUGUAUCACCGGUGAUACACGCCUAGGUCUCUAGAAUUUAGGGGCUGGGGCCUUAACGGAAGGAGUUUUAAGAAUGACGUAAGUUAAUUUUAAAAGAAAAAAUAUUUAAUUUCAUAGUAAAACACAACUUAAAAAAAUAAUACUCAAUUAUAAAUAGGAAACUGCAAUUCAUUCCUGUAAACAAAAAAAUUAUAUAAAUUCAAUGUAUUUGCUGAAAAUGAUUGAGGCAUAAGAAUGGAGACCGAGGACAUUGUCCGCAGUAUGUGGAUACAAGUUUCGCCUUCUUCCUUGCAGCUGACGAAGAGGUUGCAGUCUUCAGUUUAGAAUAGCAGCCUCCGCAGCGAUAUCUCUUUCGCCUUCCGUCCUUUUUUACUUCCACUGAUGUCGUCAAAAUGUGUUUGCCUUGAGGAGGUGUUCGCAAAAUUGAAGCGCUAUCUCUUCCACUUAAAUUUAGAAUUAUAUUUUGCCGAAAG